rnacentral:rRNA from 1 species
UACGGGGGGGAGCAAGCGUUGUUCGGAUUUACUGGGCGUAAAGGGCGCGUAGGCGGUCGUGACAAGUCACUUGUGAAAUCUCCGGGCUUAACUCGGAACGGUCAAGUGAUACUGUCGGACUAGAGUACAGAAGGGGCAACUGGAAUUCUCGGUGUAGCGGUGAAAUGCGUAGAUAUCGAGAGGAACACCUGCGGCGAAGGCGGCUUUCUGGUCUGUUCUUGACGCUGAGGCGCGAAAGCUAGGGUAGCAAACGGG